UACGGAGGGUGCAAGCGUUAUCCGGAUUUACUGGGUUUAAAGGGUGCGUAGGUGGACUAGUAAGUCAGGAGUGAAAGUUUGCGGCUCAACCGUAAAAUUGCUUUUGAUACUGCAUGGCUGGAAUCAGGAUGAGGUCAGCGGAAUGUGGCAUGUAGCGGUGAAAUGCAUAGAUAUGCCAUAGAACACCAAUUGCGAAGGCAGCUGGCUAGACCUGUAUUGACGCUGAGGCACGAAAGCGUGGGGAGCGAACAGG
rnacentral:rRNA from 1 species